UAAACCAAGGUGUCCGUGAUCUCUUCACAAAUCCUACUCUUCCAUCCUCUCUAAGCUUGAACUCAAGCGUUCAUUGAAUUUGUAACCAUGGCCAUGCUUGAAGAACAACUGAAAGUAUUGAAGACCACCUUCGAUAAGUAUGCUGGAAAAGACGCAGACAAAGGUUCAAUGAGCAAGGCAGAACUUGCUGAUUUGCUCCGCGAGGAGUUUCCUGGAAUGGCCGGGGACAAAAAACAGUUGGACGCAUUCUUCACCGGCCUGGAUGCGGACAAGGAUGGAAAAGUUUCUUUCCCAGAGUUUGUCCAGUUUGCAGCAACCUUGCUGUUGAUGAUGAUGAGCCAAAUGUAAUUUGGGAA